rnacentral:rRNA from 1 species
UACGUAGGGUGCGAGCGUUGUCCGGAAUUAUUGGGCGUAAAGGGCUCGUAGGCGGUCUGUCGCGUCGAAAGUGAAAACUCAGGGCUUAACCCUGAGCCUGCUUCCGAUACGGGCAGACUAGAGGUAUGCAGGGGAGAACGGAAUUCCUGGUGUAGCGGUGAAAUGCGUAGAUAUCGAGAGGAACACCUGCGGCGAAGGCGGGUUGCUGGGCUGACACUGACGCUGAAGCGCGAAAGCUAGGGGAGCGAACGGG